UACGUAGGGGGGCAAGCGUUGUCCGGAAUUAUUGGGCGUAAAGCGCGCGCAGGCGGCUUUGUAAGUUUGGUGUUUAAUCUCAGAGCUCAACUCUGAUUCGCAUCGAAAACUGCAAGGCUUGAGUACAGAAGAGGAAAGUGGAAUUCCACGUGUAGCGGUGAAAUGCGUAGAGAUGUGGAGGAACACCAGUGGCGAAGGCGACUUUUUGGGCUGUAACUGACGCUGAGGCGCGAAAGCGUGGGGAGCAAACAGG
rnacentral:rRNA from 1 species